UGAGUUUGGAGACAGAGGUGUUCGUUAAGUUGAAACAGCACUGGAAAAGAAACUGAAAUUAGGAUUGUGAUUUGAGAGUCUUUCCUGCUAAGGAGUGCAUUUCAACAGAUCUAAGUGUGAGAUUACUAAAUAUAAACACAAGGGAUGUGAAUUGGGAAGAUAUUUAUAAAUAAGAGUGUCAAUGGAGUAGAAAGAAGAAUAGCAUUGUAAAAGGAAAACGAAAGAUAGAUGGAUGGACAGAUAGGGAAAUAGAAUAGCUCAAUUUGUUUAAACCUAGAAUAUAUUUUCUGUAUGGCUUAAAUAUAAAAGAAAAACCUAAAACGCUUUUAUACGUCUAUAAAGGCAUGAAGAAAAAUGUGGAAAGAUUCUCGUAAAUAUGUAUGAGAAGCAUGGAAAAAAAGGACAUUUGAAGCCAGAAGAGUGGAAUGUAGAAAAGAAUCUUAAUGAUUAUACAUCCACAUUUCAGAGUACUUCUCAUAGGGCUUCUGUUGAUGUACUCUAACUUGCUAAGAAAAAUUAUAUUUAAUUUUCCAACUAAUUUUUAACUGUCGAAAAGUGUGAAGAUUGAACAACACCUACAAUCCCGUUGAACUGGCCAAAAAGAAUGGGAUCUCUCCAGAACAAGUCAGUUCAACUCAGUAAAUACUUAUUGACUACCUGCCCUGUACCACUCAGUGUGCCAGAUGCUGAAGAUGAGGGAUCCUUGCGUGCAUAGAGUUUAUAAUCCA
rnacentral:lncRNA from 1 species